rnacentral:rRNA from 1 species
AUGGGCGUUAAUAGUUUUGUAUUGGAAUGAGUUGAGUAUAAACCCCUUUACAAGUAUCAAUUGGAGGGCAAGUCUGGUGCCAGCAGCCGCGGUAAUUCCAGCUCCAAUAGCGUAUAUUAAAGUUGUUGCAGUUAAAAAGCUCGUAGUUGGAUUUCUGUUAAUAAUUUAUAUAUAAUAUUUUAUUAAUAUUUAUAUAGUAUUAACAUAAUUCAUAUUACUAUAUUUUAUAGUAUAUGAAAUUUUACUUUGAGAAAAUUAGAGUGCUUAAAGCAGGCAUUAGCCUUGAAUACUCCAGCAUGGAAUAAUAUAAAAGAUUUUUAUCUUUUUUAUUGGUUCUAAGAUAAAAAUAAUGAUUAAUAGGGACAGUUGGGGGCAUUUGUAUUUAACAGUCAGAGGUGAAAUUCUUAGAUUUGUUAAAGACAAACUAGUGCGAAAGCAUUUGCCAAGGAUGUUUUCAUUAAUCAAGAACGAAAGUUAGGGGAUCGAAGACGAUCAGAUACCGUCGUAGUCUUAACCAUAAACUAUGCCAACUAGAGAUUGGAGGUUCCUUCCCCCCCCCUUUUAAAAAGGGGUUGCCGGUUUUUUGCGCGCCUGGGGGCCGCCCGUAAGAUGCGAGGACCCCGUUUUCACACCCCCCCCCUCCCCGGACAUCGACACCCCUAGUUCCCCCGGUUCCCCCUUCUUUUCCCCACUUGUUCCCCCUAUUCCCCCUCCCCUCCUACCUCUUUCCUUGUUUUCCCACCCCUCCCUCCUGCCCUUCCUUCCUCCCUCCCCCACCCCCCCCCCCCCCCCCCCCC